UACAAGCAGUGGGAGCACCUUCGUGGUGUGACUGCGUACCUUUUGUAUAAUGGGUCAGCGACUUAUAUUCAGUAGCAAGGUUAACCGUAUAGGGGAGCCGUAGAGAAACCGAGUCUUAAUAGGGCGUUUAGUUGCUGGGUAUAGACCCGAAACCAGGCGAUCUAUCCAUGAGCAGGUUGAAGGUUGGGUAACACUAACUGGAGGACCGAACCCACUGUCGUUGAAAAGCCAGGGGAUGACUUGUGGAUAGGGGUGAAAGGCUAAUCAAGCCUGGUGAUAGCUGGUUCUCCCCGAAAGCUAUUUAGGUAGCGCCUCGGACGAAUACCAUAGGGGGUAGAGCACUGUUUCGGCUAGGGGGUCAUCCCGACUUACCAAACCGAUGCAAACUCCGAAUACCUAUGAGUACUAUCCGGGAGACAGACUGCGGGUGCUAACGUCCGUAGUCAAGAGGAAAACAAUCCAGACCGCCAGCUAAGGCCCCAAAAUCAUAGUUAAGUGGGAAACGAUGUGGGAAGGCAUAGACAGCUAGGAGGUUGGCUUAGAAGCAGCCACCCUUUAAAGAAAGCGUAAUAGCUCACUAGUCGAGUCGGCCUGCGCGGAAGAUGUAACGGGGCUAAAACUAUGUGCCGAAGCUGCGGAUUUGACAUUAGUCAAGUGGUAGGGGAGCGUUCUGUAAGCCGAUGAAGGUGUAUUGAGAAGUAUGCUGGAGGUAUCAGAAGUGCGAAUGCUGACGUGAGUAACGACAAAACGGGUGAAAAACCCGUUCGCCGAAAGACCAAGGGUUCCAGUCCAACGUUAAUCGGGGCUGGGUGAGUCGACCCCUAAGGCGAGGCCGAAAGGCGUAGUCGAUGGGAAAUUGGUUAAUAUUCCAAUACUUCUGUGUAAUGCGAUGAGAGGACGGAGAAGGUUAAGUCAGCCUGGCGUUGGUUGUCCAGGUGGAAGGAUGUAGGUAUGUAUCUUAGGCAAAUCCGGGGUACUCUAUACUGAGAUCCGAUAGCAAGCUGUACUUGUACAGUGAAGUGGCUGAUACCAUGCUUCCAGGAAAAGUCUCUAAGCUUCAGUUACACAGGAAUCGUACCCGAAACCGACACAGGUGGUCAGGUCGAGUAGACCAAGGCGCUUGAGAGAACUCUGCUGAAGGAACUAGGCAAAAUGGUACCGUAACUUCGGGAGAAGGUACGCUGUUGUUGGUGAUGGAACUUGCUUCCUGAGCUGACGACAGCCGCAGAAACCAGGCCGCUGCAACUGUUUAUUAAAAACAUAGCACUCUGCAAACACGAAAGUGGACGUAUAGGGUGUGAUGCCUGCCCGGUGCUGGAAGGUUAAUUGAUGGGGUUAGCGUAAGCGAAGCUCUUGAUCGAAGCCCCAGUAAACGGCGGCCGUAACUAUAACGGUCCUAAGGUAGCGAAAUUCCUUGUCGGGUAAGUUCCGACCUGCACGAAUGGCAUAAUGAUGGCGGCGCUGUCUCCAGCAGAGGCUCAGUGAAAUCGAAAUCGCUGUGAAGAUGCAGUGUACCCGCGGCUAGACGGAAAGACCCCGUGAACCUUUACUGCAGCUUGACACUGAACUUUGACCUUACUUGUGUAGGAUAGGUGGGAGGCUUUGAAGUUGGAACGCUAGUUCCAAUGGAGCCGUCCUUGAAAUACCACCCUGGUAAUGUUGAGGUUCUAACUCUGUCCCGUUAUCCGGGACGAGGACCGUGUCUGGUGGGUAGUUUGACUGGGGCGGUCUCCUCCUAAAGAGUAACGGAGGAGUACGAAGGUGCGCUCAGCGUGGUCGGAAAUCACGCGUAGAGUAUAAAGGCAAAAGCGCGCUUAACUGCGAGACCCACAAGUCGAGCAGGUACGAAAGUAGGUCUUAGUGAUCCGGUGGUUCUGUAUGGAAGGGCCAUCGCUCAACGGAUAAAAGGUACUCUGGGGAUAACAGGCUGAUACCGCCCAAGAGUUCAUAUCGACGGCGGUGUUUGGCACCUCGAUGUCGGCUCAUCUCAUCCUGGGGCUGAAGCAGGUCCCAAGGGUAUGGCUGUUCGCCAUUUAAAGAGGUACGCGAGCUGGGUUUAGAACGUCGUGAGACAGUUCGGUCCCUAUCUACCGUGGGCGCUGGAAAUUUGAGAGGAUCUGCUCCUAGUACGAGAGGACCAGAGUGGACGAACCUCUGGUGUACCGGUUGUGACGCCAGUCGCAUCGCCGGGUAGCUAUGUUCGGAAGGGAUAACCGCUGAAAGCAUCUAAGCGGGAAGCCUACCUCAAGAUAAGAUUUCCCUAGGAAUUUAUUCCUCUAAAGAGCCGUUCGAGACUAGGACGUUGAUAGGUUGGAUGUGGAAGCAUAGUGAUAUGUGAAGCUGACCAAUACUAAUUGCUCGUGAGGCUUGACUAU
rnacentral:rRNA from 1 species